UUUUUUUUUUUUUUUUUGGAAUUCAGUUUAAAUUUUUGUAGCAUUUGACUCCCUUUCGUGUAUUGAAAAUUGUAUGUUAUCAUUAGUACUAAUUAACGGUUGUAUACAAAUUUCAAUUAAAUAAAUCAAAACUAAUGUAUCUUGACUUUCCACCUUCCCCCACUUAAACAACAGUAGCACACCCAUUUACAGUAGAUAUUAUCUCUAUUUGCAAAAAAAUGUGUGUGGUUUUUUAUUUUGGCUGCCUACAAUUAUAAUUUUGUUCAAUUCAUUACAGUGUACAAUUUUACGAUUCGUUCAUCACGAAUACCUAUGUCAAUGUGAGAAUAGUUGAGCAUUUUCAAGCGAAUGGUUUUUGGACGUGAGUAUAUUGUUGGAUAUGAAUCAUGCGAUAUAAACAUAUAAUCCGAUGGAAAAAAAAAAUUAUUUCGUCGUUGUAAAAUGAUUGGGAAAUUAAAACAAAUCGAUUAUCAGGGAACAGAUUCUUGUGUUGAAAUAAUAAUAUUACUGUGUCGUCGGUUGAAUUAAUUACAUCCGUUAUUAUAAGUUGCCUGAAAGUGUUUGGAUUUACAUAUUUUUCGGGUUGUAUGUAUGCUUGUAUUGUAAAAAACUUGAUUGGUGUUGAUACAAUGUUGUAGAUUUUAGAAUAGCGACAAUAGCCGUCAUUCAUGUAUAUCAUUGUGUGACAUCGAAUUAAUGAUAAUUUUGUUUUGCAGGUUUUAAUUUAUUCAGGAUUUAGUCUAAGAAUUUUUAUCAACUACUCAUUUUUAGUUUCCGAGUGUAGCUAAGAAUUAAUUGGUUUUAUAAGAUGUUUUAUUAUUAUUAUACUUUUCUUAUACUUUGUACAAAAACUUUAACAGAGAUCUUGCUGUGAAGUAUCUAGUAUACAACCUUUUCUGAGGGGGAAUUUUCUUGAGGUGUUAUUUUACGGAGCUAACUUGCUCAGGAGUUUUUAUAAUAAAUAGGAAAAACGGGAAAAUAUAUGAAAAAAAGUUUGUUUUUAUUUAAAUUUUGUUUUGUAUUUUAAUAAAUGAAAAAUAUUUAUAGAGAUUUUAAAUUUUAACAGAAAACUUAUAUUUGCCUUUUAUAGACGUUGUAUUAUUUUUAAUACAUUUGGGCUAUUUUUAAGCUAUAAGACAUUAUAAUUUUGUGAGUUUUUUACGUAAGUUUUACUUGGUAGGUACUCUAUGUUGAAAAUUG